rnacentral:rRNA from 1 species
CCUACGGGGGGCUGCAGUGGGGAAUAUUGCACAAUGGGGGGAACCCUGAUGCAGCAAUGCCGCGUGGGUGAAGAAGCACUCCGGUGCGUAAAGCCCUGUCAGCAGGGAAGAAAAUGACAGUACCUGACCAAGAAGCCCCGGCUAACUACGUGCCAGCAGCCGCGGUAAUACGUAGGGGGCAAGCGUUAUCCGGAUUUACUGGGUGUAAAGGGAGCGCAGGCGGUAUGGCAAGUCAGAUGUGAAAACCCAGGGCCCAACCCUGGGACUGCAUUUGAAAAUGCCAUACUGGAGUGCCGGAGAGGUAAGUGGAAUUCCUAGUGUAGCGGUGAAAUGCUUAGAGAUCAUACAGAACACCGAGUGCGAAGGCAGCUUACCAAGCUACUUCUGACGUUGAGGCACGAAAGCGUGGGGAGCAAACAGGAUUAGAUACCCCGGUAGUC